UACGGGGGGGGGCAAGCGUUGUUCGGAAUUACUGGGCGUAAAGGGCUCGUAGGCGGCCAACUAAGUCAGACGUGAAAUCCCUCGGCUUAACCGGGGAACUGCGUCUGAUACUGGUUGGCUUGAGUGUGGGAGAGGGAUGCGGAAUUCCAGGUGUAGCGGUGAAAUGCGUAGAUAUCUGGAGGAACACCGGUGGCGAAGGCGGCAUCCUGGACCAUUACUGACGCUGAGGAGCGAAAGCCAGGGGAGCAAACGGG
rnacentral:rRNA from 1 species